AACUCAUGGUGAGAGAACCUUCUCAGUAGGUCCUUGUAUCUCUCCUAUGCAUCGUAAAGUGUUUCUAAAUUCAUCUACACAAAAGAAGAGAUAUCAUUACGCAAUUU
rnacentral:snoRNA from 1 species